UACGAAGGGGGGCUAGCGUUGCUCGGAAUCACUGGGCGUAAAGCGCACUUAGGCGGCUUUCUAAAGUCAGGGGUGAAAUCCUGGAGCUCAACUCCAGAACUGCCUUUGAUACUGGAGAGCUCGAGUCCGGAAGAGGUGAGUGGAACUCCGAGUGUAGAGGUGAAAUUCGUAAAUAUUCGGAAGAACACCAGUGGCGAAGGCGGCUCACUGGUCCGGUACUGACGCUGAUGGUGCGAAAGCGUGGGGAGCAAACAGG
rnacentral:rRNA from 1 species